CCUGUCAGAGCCUGUGUCUUUGCAUGGAUUGUACGAAUGUUUUGCCAUAAACUAAUGAGUCAACCCACGCACGACUUAAUAUAUGCCAGUUGUUUAUCUGUGCAUAUAAACAAGGAAACAGGCAAGUCAGCCGUCCGCUGUUGUCAUUCAUUGUUUUAGGAACCGAGCCAGGACGAGGACGAAGAAGCUUCUGCUGUCUUUGGACUCAAAACUCGCAAAGCAGACCACGAGAAGAAAAAAGAAUUCCAUGGGCAUGAUGAUUCUCCAGAGUGUUGUCUUAAUCGGCGCGUUUUUAUUGGCCUACGGCAUGGAGACAGAUGUGAUCAUCUGUCUGGAAAAUGGCACUCAAACAACAAGAAUAAAUCAAACCACUGUUAUAAGAGACAUUGUCAACCAGAGCCUGAUGUGUGAAUGGAACUCAAUUCCCUG